rnacentral:rRNA from 1 species
GAUGAACGCUAGCGGGAGGCCUAACACAUGCAAGUCGAACGGUAAGGCUCUUUCGGGAGUACACGAGUGGCGGACGGGUGCGUAACGCGUACGGAAUAUACCUUUAACAGGGGGAUACCUUCGGGAAACUGGAAAUAAUACCCCAUAACAUUAUUGAGUCGCAUGGCUUAAUAAUCAAAAACUUAGGUGGUUAAAGAUUAUCGUGCGUCUGAUUAGCUAGUUGGUGAGGUAGAGGCUCACCAAGGCGAUGAUCAGUAGCUGGUCUGAGGAGGAUGAUCACGCCACACGUGGGACUGAGAC